AUGUUAGAGGGGGAGUCUGACCUGAAAUCACGGAGAAAUGAACAACAUCAACAAUCAGGAUUACAACUUUCUGUGACGUUUUCCUCAGGUACAGCAGUGAGCAGUGACCUACAGUCUACACAGCCCAGUGAAGUUAAACAUAUUAUAUACCUGCAAUACUUGAUCCUGUACAACAUGUCAACAUAACUGAAGGAAUUACUCAUCUAAUAAAGUAACUUGUUUAUGUGCUUUAAAAACUGCUAAGUAACCAACUGUAAGUAACCAACUGUAAUGUACUGUAUCCAUAUUUCAUAGUCUGAUAUUUUAACUUGAAAGUAUUAUUACCAACGUUAACCUUCAGAUAUUUGUAAAAGCUGCAAUUAUGUUUGAACCCCAUUAAAAAUACUGAAUAUUCUAUCAUUUAUAUUAUAUAUUAUGAUGUCAUUUAUCUUCCAAUAUAAGGUUUAAAUUUAAAGGCCAGGUUUAAAUUUAACAUUUUCAUAUUGAUAGAUGUUACACGAACCAGGUUUUCAACUCUUGUAGAACUAAAACACUUUAUGUUUCAUUCAAAUUCCAGUUACACAUGUUGCAAGUAACAAAGCUAGAACUUUUAUGUAAACUGUGCAGAUCAUGUUCUCCAUCAAGGUGGUUUCUAGUAUACUGAAGUGUGAGCUGGUAAUGGAGCUCUGCAGUCAGUGUUCAUCUUGAUGAGUCUUCCUUUGGAUACCCAGAGUGUCCUGAUGCUGCAGCUGUCUCUGUCCUCUGAUGGGUCCAGGAACUCCUGAGCUUCAUCAGGUCACCUGUAAAACAAGGCAGAUUCAGUGUUACCUGUAAGGCAGCAUAUCAUAAACAGUAUAAUAUAAUACAAUACAGUAUAAUAUAAUACAAGUACAACAGCUCAUUGUGGCUCAAAGUAGUCCUAAGUUAUAAAAUAAAAUAAUAAAGCAGUGUCUCUGGUGGUUCCUUGUUGCAGCUAACUGUAGUGAUGUGGUGUUGAAACAGUCUGAGGUUACCAACACAAUGUCUAUCUAAUGGCAGCAGAUACACACACAGGACAUUUACUGACUGUAACUGAUGUUGUAACAAGUUCCUGGUGCAAUAACAGACAUUUAGCAGUGAGCCUCAGUGUUUAUAAUACAAUAGGAGAUUAUAUGAGUAUGAGAUGUUACACUGGACCUACACUUAUAUCGUCAGUCAUAGCAGUACUUCAGUAAUGCUAAAUAUAUGGAUCAGAAAACCUUUAUUUUGACUCCACAAAAUGCCUAGCGAAAACCCUAACCAGCUGCUCGGUGCUAAUCAAAGUUACAGAAUAAUACUAAACUAAUUAAUCCCUGCAGUUUGACUAUUUCUCUCUCACAGUAGUUCUAUUGUUAACUCUGGUGCACAUUGAUCAAGUUAAUUUACAUUCAGCAGCACACACACACCUGAACAAAGCAGAAGAACGGCUUCAGAGAACCAACAAAGCUAACGCUAGCUGAGAUAGCCUUAGCACGUCAGUAGAAAGUUACACAAGAAGACCAGGACGGAAGCCGCACUGUUCUUCUUCAAUCAGAGGUUGUCUGUGUGCUGCUGUAUGUAAAUUUACCAGAGGUAAAGAUAGAGCUACUGUGAGAGAGAAAUAGUCAAACUGUGAUCAAGCCUCCUUAGAAGUUAACAAAAUACGGGGAGAAGGUUAUGGUGAUUAUUUUUCAUGAUGCUUCUUGUGUAACUUUCUACUGACGUGCUAAGGUCAUGAAAAAUAAUCACCAUAACCUUCUCAGGUUGUGUUUGUGUAGGUAACUCUGAUGAGUAAUUAAUCACCGGGACCCUGAGGUCUGCAUUUGGGAAGGUCGAGCUGGCCAUUCUCAGCAUAUGUCUCAACUGUUUGAGAGAUGUUUUAUGUGGCUCUUUGUCCCGGUUAUUAAUGCCCACCGAGAGGAUCACCACCUUUGUCUCCUUGUUGGCUGGUGUUUUUUCUAAAAUUCUGCCAAACUGGUACAAAAUGGCCCCUGGAUAGCUGUCAGCCUGAAUGUCCUGAUGUGAAAAUUUGGGGAUUCUAUUGAUGUUUGAAUCACCCAGUAUGAGUAUUGGUUUGUUACUUUUAAAUUCCCAGUCUUUUAGUUUACGGCUACUGCCAGCCCGGUGGCAGGUGGGUUCAAGGGUCAGGCUCGUAUCUGCAACUCUGGUGGGAGGAGCGAAGACCUUGGCGCGUGCUCCCAGCUGGUGUGAGUUAGGAUGUUCU
rnacentral:lncRNA from 1 species